UGUGACAAUCGUUUUCUUUUAUGUGUUUU
rnacentral:piRNA from 1 species